GUCAGCAGCCAUCAACAUUGAGGCAAGACCCUCCACCAGCAAAAUGAUUAUGACUUACUGAAGGUUCAGAUAAUCAUUCUCACUUUUUGGCAACAAAGUAUAUUUUAUUAAGGUGCAACUAAAAAUUCUGGAUAUUCUGUACAAAAGAAACAAAAUAAAAGUCUCAAGGAUGGAGAGGAGGGACUGGCUAAAGAUGCAGAGACCCAAUGAAUGACGCAGAGAGUCGUUCCACAGGCCCCAGCUGGCUAUUUUCUCUCUAUUCACCUUUAAAGGAGAGUUUUAUCCGUGUCUUGCAUUCAUAUAAUUGGCGAGUAUCCUUUUUGAUUUCUCUUAUGUGUUAAAUGAAUUCCUUUUGAAUUCUGCAGUCCAGCAGCCUGAGGAGGUGUGCAGUGAACUGUAGGUCAAGAACCUAGAUCUGCAUCAUUUGUUUUCUGCUAUGUGAGAAGCUGCCAUGCUAUCUACUGUAUCUGGUCACUACACCCAGGACAAGCUCAGACCCCUUCCUGAUGUGUCAGCCUCUUGUGUUUGGACAAGCCAUCCCCUCCCUGCCUGAUCUCUGCUUGGCUGCGUAAACAACUGGGAGUCCUAUUUCAGCUGUUUUCCGGUCCCUCAGCAAUGGGCAUUUGCAAUCUGAGUCCUACCUAAUGUUGGAGUACCAUUUGGCCCCGUUGGCCCCUCACUCUCUCCUUCUUGAAACUGUUUCCUUGCUUUCUGGGUCUCUGAUAUUCCUCUGACUUGCCUUCUAUCUUCAUGACUAUUUUUCUCAGUAUCAUUUGACAGCCCCUCUUGUUCAACCUGACCAGUACGUGUUUUCUCCUCACAAAUCUGUCUUGGUGUUCUUUUUAUUCACACACUCUCAAAGGGUGACCAACUACUGCAGUUUGUUCAAGCCUGAGAAUGUUCCCAUGACAUACGACUUUCAGUGCCAAAAUCGAGAAAGUCUCAAAGAAGAAUGAUUUGCUUACCCUCCCAUACAAAUCUUUGUUCCAUUGAUUUCAAGUACCUUUUGGAUGUCAAACGCUCUAAAAUUUAUUUAUUCGGCCCAGACCUCUCUUCUGAUCUCAUUUCCAGCUAUGUACUAGACAUCUCUGUUUGAAUGUUCCCUCCCACUCCAAAAUAUCUUCUACAUUCUCUAACUCAGGACACUUUACAGCAUUUAUCCAGUUGUCCUUUCCAUCACAGGGAAAUGAUCCCUGACUCUUCCAUCUCCCUCCAUUCUCACAUCCAAUUAAUCGACAAAUUGUAAUAAUUGUAUUUGAUUUAAAAAUGCUUUCAUAAAUGCCUCUCC
rnacentral:lncRNA from 1 species